GAAGAGUGUAGGGAGUGAGGAGGUGGGACAGACCAGGCAGGGCUCUGUGCAUAGAGAAGAUGGGAGACACCAGACAGGGCCCUGUGUAGGGAGUGAAGAAGAGGGAGACCCAGGCAGAGUCCUGCUUAGGGAGUGAGGAGAUGAGAGAGACCAGGCAGAGCCAAGUAUAGGGAGUGAGGAUAUGGGAGAGACCAGGCAGGCCCUGUGUAAGGAGUGAUGAGGUGGGAGAGACCAAGCAGGACCCUGUGCAGGGUGUGAGGGGGAGGGAGCAUCCAGGCAGGGCCCUGUGGAGGGAGUGAGGUGUUGGGAGAGACCACACAGGUCCUGUGUAGGGAGCGAGAAUGUGCCAGAGAUCAGGCAGGGCCCUGUGUAGAGAGUGAGGAGGUGGGAGAGAACAGACAGAGACAUAUGUAGGGAGUAAGCAGAAGGGAGACACCAGGCAGGGCCCUCUGUAGGGAGUGAGGAGGAGGGACAUACCAGGCAGGGCCCUGUGUAAGGAGUGAGGAGGUGGGAGAAUCCAGGCAGACACCUGUGUAGGGAGUGAGGAGCUGGAAGAGACCAGGCAGGGACCUGUGUAGGUCCUGAGGAGGUGGGAGAGGCCAGGCAGCGUCCUGUGUAGGGAGUGAGAAGGUGGGAGAGACCAGGCAGGGCCCUAUGUUGGGAGUGAGGAUGCAGGAGAGAAGAGGCAGAGAUGUGGGAGAGACCAGGCAAAGACCUGUGAAGGGACUGAGGAGGUGGGAGAGACCUGGCAGGGCCCAGUGUAGGGAGUGAGUAUCUGGAGAGAAGAGGCAGAGACCUGUGUAGGGAUUGAGAAGAAGGAGAGACCAGGCCGGGCCCUGUGGAGGGAGUGAGGAGGUGGGAGAGGCCAGGCAGAGCCCUGUGUAGCGAGUGAGGUGUUAGGAGAGACCAGGCAGGGCCCUGUGUAGGGAGUGAUGAGGUGAGAGAGACCAGGUAGGACCCUGUGUACAGAGUGAGGAUGUGGAAGAGAACAGGCAAGGCUGUGUGUAGGAAGUAAGGUGGUGGAGAUACCAGUCAGGGACCUGUGUAGGGAUUGAGGAAGUGGGAGAGACCAGGCAGGACCCUGUGUAGGGAGUGAGGAGGUGGGAGAGACCAUCAGGGCCCUGUGUAGGGAGUGAGGAAGUGAUAGAGAACAGGUAAGGCCCUGCAUACACAGUGAGGAGUUGGGAGAGACCACCCAGAUACCUGAGUAGGGAGUCAGGAUGUGGGAGAGAUCAGGCAGAGCCCUGUGUAGGAAGUGAGGUGUUAGGAGAGACCAGGCAGGGCCCUGUGUAGGGAGUGAGGAGGUGGGAGAGACCAGGCAGUGGCUUGUUUAGGGAGUGAGCAGGUGCGAGAGAACAUCAGGGCCCUGUGUAGGGAGUGAGGAGGAGGGAGAAAACAGGCUAACACCUGUGUAUGUAGUAAGGAGGUGGGAAAGACCACCCAGAGACCUGUGUAGGGAUUGAGGAAUGGGAGGGAACAGGCAGAGAACUGUGUAGGGAGUGAGGAGGUAGGAGAGACCAGGCAAGGCCCUGUGUAGGGAGCGAAGAGGUGGAGAACCAGGCAGAGUCCUGCAUAGGGAGUGAGAAGGCGAGAGAGGACAGGCAGAGCCCUGCGUAGGGAGUGAGGAGGUGGGAUUGACUAGGCAGGACCCUGGGUAGGGUGUGAGGAGGUGGGAGAUUCCAGGCAGGGCCCUUUGUAGGGAGUGAGGUGUUGGGAGAGACCAGGCAGAGUCCUGUGUAGGGAGUGAGGAUUUGGGAGAGACCAGGCAGGGCCCUGUGUAUGGCCUGAGGAGGUUAGAAAUACCAGGCAGGGCCCUGAGUAGGGAGUGAGGAAGUGGGAGAGAAGAGGCAGGGCCCUGUCUAGGGAUUGAAGAGGUGGGAGAGAACAGGCAGAGACCCUUGUAGGGAAUGGGGAGGUGGGAGAACCAUGCCGAGACCUGUGUAGGGAUGGAGAAGGUGGGAGGGACCAGUUAGGGCCCUGUGUGUGCAGUCAGGAUGUGAGAGAGAGGAGGCAGGGCCCUGUGUGAAUUGAGGAUGGGGGAGAGGCCAGGCAGGGCCCUGUUUAGGGAGUGAGGAGGUGGGAGAGAUCAUCAGGGCCCUGUAAAGGGAGUGAGGAGGUGAGAGAGGCCAGUCAGGGACCUGUGUAGGGAGUUAGGCGUUAGGAGAGACCAGGCAGGGCCCUGUGUAGGGAGUGAGGAGGUGGGAGAGACCAGGCAGAGACCUGCAUAGGGAGUGAGGAGGUGAGAGAGACCAGGUAGGAUGCUGUAUAAAGAGUGAGGAUGUAGGAGAGACUAGCCAGAGCCCUGUGUAGGGAGUAAGGAGGUGGAGAGACCAGGCAGGGUCCUGUUUAGGGAGUGAGGAGGUGGGAGAGAUCAUCAGGGCCCUGUAAAGGGAGUGAGGAGGUGGGAGAGACCACCCAGAUACCUGUGUAGGGACUGAGGAGGUGGGAGAGAAAAGACAGAGCCCUGUGUAGGGAGUGAGGAGGUGGGAGAUACCAGGCAGGGCCCUGUGUAGGGAGUGAGGAGGUGGCAGGGAGCAGUCAGAGACCUGUGUAGGGAGUGAGGAGGUGGCAGAGACCAGGCAGGGCCCUGUCUAGGGAGUGAGGAGUUGGAAGAGACCAGGCAGAGACCUGUGUACUGAGUCAGGAGGUGGGAAAGAACAGGCAGGACUGUGUUUAGCAAGUGAGGGGGUGAGAGAGAAUAGGCAGAAACUUGUGUAGGGAGUGAGAAGAUGGAAGACAGCAGGCAGGGCCCUGUGUAGGGAGUGAAGAGGUGGGAGAAACAUUCAGAGACCUGAAUAGGGAGUGAGGAGUUGGGAGAGACCAGGCAGGGCUCUGUGCAGGGAGUGAGGAGGCCAGAGAUCAGGCAAGUCCCUUUGUAUGGAGUAAGGAUGUGGGAGAGACCAGGCAGGGCCCUGUGCAGGGAGUGAGGAGGUAGGAGAGAUCAGGCAGGGACUGGUGUAGGGAGUGAGGAGGUGGGAGAGACCAGGCAGGGCCCCGUGUAGGAAGUGAGGAAGUGGGAAAGAACAGGCAGAAAGCUGUGUAUGGAGUGAGAAGAUGGGAGACACUAGCCAGGGCCCUGUGUAGGGAGUGAAGAGGUGGGAGAACAAGGCAGGGUCCUGCAUAGAGAGUGAGGAGGUGGGAGAGGACAGGCAGAGCCCUGCUUAGGGAGUGAGGAUGUGGGAGAGACAAAGCAGGGCUCUUUGUAAGGAGUGAUGAGGUGGGAGAGACUAGGCAGGACCCUGCUAGGGGUUAUUGAUAUUGUAAGGGUUAGGUUUAGGGUUAGGGUAGGGGUAAGUUAGGGUUAAGGCUAGCUUUACUGUAAAGGGUGGGGCCAGGUUAGGGUUAGGGUUAGGUUUAGAGUUCGAGUUAGAUCUAGGGUUUAGGGUUAGGGUUAGGGUCCGGUUUAGAGUUAUUGUUAGGUUUAGGGUUAGGGUUAGGGUAGAGUUAAGGUUAGGGUUAAGUUUAGGGUUAGGGUAAGGAUUAAGUUUAGGUCAGGGUUAGGGUUAGGAUGAGUGAUAGGGUUAGGGAAAGGGUUAGGGGUUCGUGUGACGGUUAGUGUUACAUUUACAGUUAAGCUGAUGUUUUAGGGUGUUACUGCCAGGGUUAGGGUUAGAGUUAGGGUUAGGGUUAGGGCGAGAGUUAGAGGAUAGUUUAGGGUUAGGUGUAAUUUUAGGGUUAGGGUUAGGCUUAGGUCUAGGGUGAAGUUUAGGUUAAGGAUGAGGGUUAGGAUUAGGCUUUGGUGUUUAGGUUAAGGUUAGCGUUACAUUUAGGGUUAGGCUUAGUGUUAGGUUUUGCGUUAAGUGUUUGGGUUAAUGUUAGGGUCAGGUUUAAAGUUAGGUUUAGGGUUAGGGUUAGUGUUUGGUUUAGGGUUAGGGUUAGGGUGAAGUUUAAGUUAAGGGUGAGUGUUGAGCUUAGGGUUAGUGUUGGGGUUAGGGUUAGGGUUAAGGUUAGAAUUAAGUUUAGGGUUAAGGUCAGGUUUAGAGUUAGGGUAAGUGUUAGGGUUAAGUCAUAGUUAGGUUUAGGACUAGUUUUUAGUUAGAGAUAGGGUUGGGUUCAGGGUUGGGCUUAGGUUUAGAUGUUAGGGUGAGGGAUAGUGCUAGGUUUCCAUUCAAACUGAGUGUGUAGGGUAAGUUUUAGGGUUAAAGUUAGAGUUAGAGUCAGGGUUAGGUUUAAGUUUAGUGUUGGGAUUAUGUUUAUGGUUAGGGUCAGGGUUGGGGAGAUUUAGUGUUUAGGGUUACAGUGAAUUUAUGUUCUGCGAGAGGGUUAGGGUUAGGGGUUUGGGUUCAGGUUAGAGUCAGGGUUAGGGUUAGGUUUAGGGUUAAGGUUAGGUUUAGUGUUAGUGUUAGUUUUGCUUAGGGUUAGGGUUUGAAUGAAGUUAGGGUAGGCUUAGCGUUAUGCUUAGGGUGAAAUUUUGGUUAAGGGUGAGGGUUCGGCUUAGGCUUAGGGUUAGAGUUAGGGUCAGUGGUUAGGGUUAGGCUUAGGGUUAAGGUUAGGUUUAGGCUAAGGAUUAGGGUUAGAGUUACGGUUAAGGGUUAGCAUUUCAGUUAGGUUUAGGUUAGGGUUAUAAUUAGGGUUAAGUUUAGGGUUAGGGUAAGAGUGAGAGUUACAUUUACAGUUAAGAUGAGGGUUUUGGGUAAGUGUUACAGUUAAGAUUAGGGUUAGGGCUAGGGUUAGGGUUAGAGUUAGGUUGAAGAUUAUGGUAGGCUUAAAGAUAGGGUUAAGGUUAGGUUAGGGUUAGGGUCAGGGUUAGGAUUAGAAUUAGGUUUAGGGUGAGGAUUAGGGUCAGAGUUAUUGUAAGGGUUAGGUUUCGGGUUACAGGUGGGCCAAGGUUAAGGUGAGGGUUAGGUUUAGGGGUAGGGUUAGGGUUAAAGUUAGGGCGAGUUUUAGGUUAGGAAUAGGGUGAAGUUUAAGACAGGGUGAGGGUUAGGGUUAUGGCUAAGGUUUGGGCUUGUUUUCAGGUUAGUGUUAAGGUUAUGUUCAGGGUUAGGGUUAAGUUCAUGGGUUGUGUUUAGUUUUAGGGUUAGGGUUAGAUUUAAGGUUAGGGUUAAGUUUAGUGUUACGGUUAGGGUAAGGGUUAUGGUUGUGUUAGGCGUUGUGGUUGGGGUGAGGGUUAGGUUUAGGGUUAGGUUUGGGUAGGGUUUGGAUUAUGGUUAUGGUAAGGUGUUAGAGUUAGAGGUGUAGUUUAGGAUUAGGUUUUGGGUGAGGGUUCCGGUUAGACCUUGUGGUUCUGGUCAUGGUUAGGUUUGGUUUAGGGUUAGGGUUAGGUUCAUGAUUAGGUUUCGGGUUAGUGUUAGAGUUAGUGUGAGAGUUAGGGUUAAGGUUUUUGCUAGGCUUUCGCUUUGGUGUUAGGGUUUGGGUUAGGGUUAGGGUUAUCAUUAGGGCUCAGGGGUUUCAGGUUAGUGUUAGGGUUAGGGUUAGGGAUAGCAUUAGGGUUAGCGUUGUGGGAUACGGUUAGGGGUUAGGGUGAGGGUUACGGUUAGUUUUACAGUUAAGGUGAGGGUUUAGGGUAAGUGUUAUGAUUAGGGUUAGAGUUAGAGUUAGGGUUAGGUUUAGGGUUAGGGUUAGGUGUAGGGUAAGAUUUAGGUUUAGGUCCAAGUUGAGGGUUAGACUUAGUGUUCUAUUUAGGGUCAAGGUUAGAGUUAGGGUUAGGGUUAGGAUUAGGUCUAGGUUUAGGAUUAGGAUUAAGUUUAGGGUUAGGUUCAGGGCUAUUGUAAGUGUUUGGUUUAGGGUUACAGAUGGACUAGCGUUAUUCUUAGAGUUAGGUUUAAGGUUAGGGUUUGGGUUAGGUCUAGGUUUAGGGUUAAGGUUAUGGUUAGUGUUUGGAUGAAGUUCAGGAUAGGGUGAGGGUUAUUUUUAUGGUGAGGGCUAGGGUUUGGGUUUGUGUUCAGGUUAGUGUUAAGGAUAGGUUUAGGGUUCGGUUAGGGUUAGGCGUUAUGUCUAGGGUCAGCGUUAGGUUAGGUUUAGGGUUAGUGUGAAGUUUAGGUUAAGGGUGAGGGUUAUGAUAAGGGUUAGGAUUAUAGACGGUGUUAGACCUUAGGUUUAGGGUGUUAGGGUUAGGUUUAUGGUUAGGGUAGAUUUAAGUUUAGGUUUAAUAUUAGGGUUAGGGUUAGAUUUGGGUUACUGUUCGUAUUAGGGUUAGGGUUAGGGAUAAGUUUGGGGCUAGCGUUAGGUUUAGGGUUGGGGAUACGGUUAAGGAUUAGGGUGAGGGUUAGGGUUAGGUUUACAGUUAAGGCGAGGGUUUAGGGUAAUUGUUAUGGUUAGGGUUAGAGUUAGAGUUAGGCUUAGGGUUAGGGUGAAGUUUCAGUUACUAGUCAGGGUUAGGCUUAAGGUUAGAGUAGGGUUAAGGUUAGUGUUCGGGUUAGGUAUAGCGUUAGGGUAUGGGUAGGGGUAAGGUUAGGGUUAAGGCUAGGUUUACGGUAAAGGGUAGGGCUAGCUUAGGGUUAGAUUUAGAGUUAGAGUUAGUGCUAGGGUUUAGGAUUAUGGUUAUGGUCAGGUUUAGAGUUAUUGUUAGGGUUAGGGUAGACUUAAGGUUAGGGUUAAUUUAGGGUUAGAGAAAGGGUUAGGUUUAGGUCUGGGUUAGGUGUAGGAUGCGGGGUAGGGUUAGGGUUAGGGGUUCAUGGGAGGGUUAGUGUUAAGUUUCCAUUAAGCUGAUGUUUUAGGGUGUUACUGUUAGGGCUAGGGUUAGCAUUAGGUUUAGGGUCAGGGCUAGAGUUAGGGGAUAGUUAAGGGUUAGCUUUACUUUCAGGGUUAGGGUUAGCCUUAGGUUUAGGGUGAAGUUUAGGUUAAGGAUGAGGGUUAGGGUUAGGGUUAGGCAUUUGGGUUAAGGUUAGGGUUAGGUUUAGGAUUAGGCUUAGGGUUAGGGUUAGGUGUUUGGGUUAAUGUUAGGGUCAGGUUUAGGGUUCGGCUUAGGGUUAGGGCUACAGCUGGGGUAAAGUUUAAUUGAAGGGUGAGGGCUGAGCUUAGGGUUAGCGUUAGGGGUUAGGGUUAGAGCUUAGGUUAGGAUUAAGUUUAGGGUUAAGGUUAGGUUUAGAUUUAGGGUUAGGGUUAGUGUUAGGGUUAAGUCAUGUUUAGGUUUAGGGCUAGGUGAAGGUUAUAGAUAGGGUUAGGUUAAGGGUUGAGGUUAGGUUUAGAUGGGAAGAUGAGGGUUAGUGCUAGGUUUCCAUUGAAGCUGAGUGUGUAGGGUAAGUUUUAGGGUUAGGAUUAGGGUUAGAGUUAGAGUUAGGGUCAGGGUUAGUUUUGAGUUUAGAGUUAGGGUUACGUUUAUGGUACGGUCAGGGUUAGGGGAGAUUUAGUGUUACGUUUAGUUUUAGGGUUAGGGUUACAGAGAAGUUUAUGUUAAGCGAGAGGGUUGGGGUUAGGGGUUUGGGUUCAGGUCAGAGUCAGGGUUAGGGUUAGGUUUAGGGUUAGGGUUACGUGUAGUGUUAGUGUUAGUUUUGCUUAGGGUUUGGGUUUGAAUGAAGUUAGGGUACGCUUAGCGUUAUGCUUAGGGUGAAAUUCUGGUUAAGGGUGAGGGUUCGGCUUAGGGUUAGGGUUAGAGUUAGGGUCAGUGGUUAGGGUUAGGUUUAGGGUUAAGGUUAGUUUUAGGCUAAGGAUUAGGAUUAGAGUUAGGGUUAAGGGUUAGCAUUUCAGUUAGGUUUAGGUUAAGGUUCUAAUUAGGGUUAAGUUUAGGGUUAGGGUAAGAGUUAGAGUUACAUUGACAGUUAAGGUGAGGGUUUUGGGUAAGUGUUACCGUUAAGGUUAGGGUUAGGGCUAGGGUUAGGGUUAGAGUUAAGGUUAAGGGUUAGGGUUAGGUUUAAGUUUAUGGUAGGCUUAAAGAUAGGGUUAAGGUUAGGUUAGGGUUAGGGUCAGGGUUAGAAUUAGAAUUAGGUUUAGGGCGAGGAUUAGGGCCAGAGUUAUUGUAAGGGUUAGGUUUCGGGUUACAGGUGGGCCAAGGUUAAGGUGAGGGUUAGGUUUAGGGGUAGGGUUAGGGUUAAAGUCAGGGUGAGUUUUAGGUUAGGGAUAGGGUGAAGUUUAAGAUAGGGUGAGGGUUAGGGUUAUGGCUAAGGUUUGGGCUUGUUUUCAGGUUAGUGUUAAGGUUAUGUUCAGGGUUAGGGUUACGUUCAGGGGUUGUGUUCAGUUUUAGGGUUAGGGUUAGAUUUAAGGUUAGGGUUAAGUUUAGUGUUACGUUUAGGGUUAGGGUCACGGUUGUGUUAGGCUUUGUGGUUGGGGUGAGGGUGAGUUUUAGGGUUAGGGUUGGUUAGGGUUAGGAUUAUCGUUAUGAUAAGGCGUUAGGGGUUAGAGGUGUAGUUUAGGGUUAGGGUUUGGGUGAGGGUUCCGGUUAGGCCUUGCGGUUCUGGUCAUGGUUAGGUUUGGUUUAGGCUUAGGGUUAGGUUCAUGAUUCGGUUUCGGGUUAGUGUUAGAGUUAGGGUGAGAGUUAGGGUUAAGGUUUUUGCUAGGCUUUGGUGUUAGGGUUAGGGUUUGUGUUAGGGUUAGGUUUAUCAUUAGGGCUCAGGGGUUUCAGGUUAACGUUAGGGUUAGGGUUAGGGAUAGCAUUAGGGUUAGGGUUGUGGGAUACGUUUAGGAUUUAGGGUGAGGGUUACGGUUAGUUUUACAGUUAAGGUGAGGGUUUAGGGUAAUUGUUAUGAUUAGGGUUAUAGUCAGAGUUAGGGUUUGGUUUAGGAUUAGGGUUAGGUGUAGGGUAAGAAUUAGGUUUAGGUCCAUGUGGAGGGUUAGACUUAGUGUUCUAUUUAGGGUCAAAGUUAGGGGUAGGGUUAGGAUUAGGUCUAGGGUUAGGAUUAGGAUUAUUUUAGGGUUAGGUUCAGGGCUAUUGUAAGUGUUCAGUUUAGGGUUACAGAUGGACUAGCGUUAUUCUUAGAGUUAGGUUUAAGGUUAGGGUUUGGGUUAGGUCUAGGUUUAGGGUUAAGGUUAUGGUUAGUGUUUGGAUGAAGUUCAGGAUAGGGUGAGGGUUAUUUUUAUGGUGAGGGCUAGGGUUUGGGUUUGUGUUCAGGUUAGUGUUAAGGAUAGGUUUAGGGUUCGGUUAGGGUUAGGCGUUAUGUCUAGGGUCAGCGUUAGGUUAGGUUUAGGGUUAGUGUGAAGUUUAGGUUAAGGGUGAGGGUUAUGAUAAGGGUUAGGAUUAUAGACGGUGUUAGACCUUAGGUUUAGGGUGUUAGGGUUAGGUUUAUGGUUAGGGUAGAUUUAAGUUUAGGUUUAAUAUUAGGGUUAGGGUUAGAUUUGGGUUACUGUUCGUAUUAGGGUUAGGGUUAGGGAUAAGUUUGGGGCUAGCGUUAGGUUUAGGGUUGGGGAUACGGUUAAGGAUUAGGGUGAGGGUUAGGGUUAGGUUUACAGUUAAGGCGAGGGUUUAGGGUAAUUGUUAUGGCUAGGGCUCGAGGUAGAUUUAGGCUUAGGGUUAGGGUGAUGUUUCAGUUAAUAGUCACGUUAGAGUUAAAGUUAGAGUAGGGUCAAGGUUAGUGUUCGGGUUAGGUAUAGAGUUAGGGUUCGGGUAGGGGUAAGGUUAGGGUUAAGGCUAGGUUUACGGUAAAGGGCAGGGCUAGGUUAGUGUUAGGUUUAGAGUUAGAGUUAGUGCUAGGGUUUGGGGUUAUGCUUAUGGUCAGGUUUAAGUUAUUGUUAGGCUUUGUUAGGGGGUUAGGGUUGUGUUUGUUACGGGGUUACGAUUGCAUUUUUCGGGGUUUAGAGUUGUGUUUGUUAGGGGCUUAGGGUUAUUUAUUAGGGGGUUAGGGUUGUUUGUUGUUUGGGGGUUAGGUUUGUUUGUUGUUAGGGGGUUAGUGUUGAUUGUUGAUAGUGGGUUAGUGGUGUUUGUUGUUAGGGGUUCAGAGUUGUUUGUUGUUAGGGGGUUAGAGUUGUUUGUUGUUAGAGGAUUUGGGUUCUUUCUUGUUGGGGGUUAGUGUUGUUUGUUUUUAGGGGAUAAGUGUUGGUUGUUGUUAGGGGGUUAGUUUUUUUUUUGUUUUUACUGGGUUAGUGGUGUUGGUGGUUAGGGGGUUAGUGUUGUUGGUUGUUUAGGGGGUUAGUGUUGUUUGUUGUUAGGUGUUUACGGUUGUUGGUUGUUAGGGGGUUAGGGUUGUUUGUUGUUUCGGAUUUAAGGUAGAUUCUUGUUAGGGGUUUAGUGUUGUUUGUUGUUAGUCGGGUAGGGUUGUUUGUUGUUUGGUUAGAGUUGUUUGUUGUUAAGGGGUUAUGGUUAUUUCUUGUUAGGGGUUAGGGUUGUUUGUUGUUAUGGGGUUAGGGUAGUUUCUUGUUAGGGGGUUAGUGUUGUUUGUUGUUAGUGUGUUAGGGUUGUUUGUUGUCUGGUUAGGGUUGUGUGUUGUUAGGGGGUUAGUGUUGUUUGUUGUCAGGGGUUUAGUGUUGUUUCUUGUUGGGGUUUAGUGGUUUUUCUUGAUAGGGUGUUAGUGUUGUUGGUUGUUUAGAGUGUUAGGGUUGUUUGCUGAUAGGGGGAUAGGGUUGUUUGUUGUUAGGGGGUUAGUGUUGCUUGUUGUUAGGGGUUUACAGUUGUUGGUUGUUAGGGGGUUAGGGUUGUUUGUUGUUAGGGGGUUAGGGUUCUUUGUUGUUAAGGGUUAGGGUUGUUUGUUGUUACGGGGUUAGGGUAGUUUCUUGUUAGGGGGUUAGUGUUGAUUGUUGUUAGUGGGUUAGUGUUGUUUGUUGUUAGGGGUUCAGAGUUGUUUGUUGUUAGGGGGUUAGAGUUUUUUGUUGUUAGAGGAUUUGGGUUCUUUCUUGUUGGGGGUAAGUGUUGUUUGUUUUUAGGGGAUAAGUGUUGGUUGUUGUUAGGGGGUUAGUAUUUUUUUGGUUUUUACUGGGUUAGUGGUGUUGGUGGUUAGGGGGUUAGUGUUGUUGGUUGUUUAGGGGGUAAGGGUUGUUUGUUGUUAGGGGGUUAGGGUUGUUUGUUGUUGGGGGUUAGUGUUGUUUGUUGUUAGGUGUUUACGGUUGUUGGUUGUUAGGGGGUUAGGGUUGUUUUUUCUUUCUCAUUUAAGGUAGAUUCCUUUUAUGGGUUUAGUGUUGUUUGUUGUUAGUCGGUUAGGGUUGUUUGUUGUUUGGUUAGGGUUGUUUGUUGUUAAGGGGUUAGGGUUGAUUGUUGUUAGUGGGUUAGUGGUGUUUGUUGUUAGGGGUUCAGAGUUGUUUGUUCUUACGGAGUUAGUUUUGUUUGUGGUUAGGGUAUUAGUGUUGUUUGUGGUUGGGGGUGAGUGUUGUUGGUUCUUAGGGGGUUAGGAUUGUUUAUUGUUAGGGGUUUAGGGUUUUAUGUUGUUAGGGGUUUAAGGUUGUUUGUUGUUAGGAGGUUAGGGUUGUUUGUUAUUUGGUCAGGGUUGUUUGUUGUUAGGGGGUUAGGGUUGUUUGUUGUUAGGGGUUAGGGUUGUUUGUUGUUACGGGGUUAGGGUAGUUUCUUGUUAGGGGGUUAGUGUUGUUUGUUGUUAGGGUGUUAGGGUUGUUUGUUGUUAGUGGGUAAGGGUUGUUUAUUGUUAGUGGGUUCGUGUUUUUGGUUUUUAGGGGUUAGGGUUGUUUGUUGUUUGGGGGUUAGUGUUGUUUGUUGUUAGGGGGUUAGGCUUGUUUGUUGUUAGGGUGUUAGUGUUCUUUGAUGUUAGGGGAUUAGGGUUGUUUGUUGUUAGGGGGUUAGUGUUGUUUGUUGUUAGGGGGUUAGGGUUGUUUCUAGUUGGGGUUUAGUAGUGUUUGUUGUUAGGGUGUUAGUGUUGUCCGUUUUUGGGGGUUAGUGUUGUUGUUGUUAGGGGGUUAUUGUUGUUUGUUGUUAGGGUGUGAGAGUUGUUUGUUGUUUGGGGUUUGUGUUGUUUUUUAGGGGGUUAGUUUUGUUUGUUGUUAGUGGGUUAGUGUUGUUUGUAGUUAGGGGAUUAGGGUUGUUGUUAGAGGGUUAGUGUUGGUUGUUGUUGGGGCUUAGUGUUGUUUGUUGUUAGGGGGUUAGGGAUGGUUGUUGUUAGGGUGUUAGUGUUGUUGGUUGUUUAGAGGGUUAGGGUUGUUUGUUGUUAGGGUUUUACAGUUGUUGGUUGUUAGGGGGUUAGGGUUGUUUGUUGUUAGGGUUUUACAGUUGUUGGUUGUUAGGGGGUUAGGGUUGUUUGUUGUUAGGGGGUUAGGGUUCUUUGUGGUUAAGGGUUAGGGUUGUUUGUUGUUACGGGGUUAGGGUGGUUUCUUGUUAGGGGGUUAGUGUUGAUUGUUGUUAGUGGGUUAGUGGUGUUUGUUGUUAGGGGUUCAGAGUUGUUUGUUGUUAGGGGGUUAGAGUUGUUUGUUGUUAGAGGAUUUGAGUUCUUCCUUGUUGGGGGUUAGUGUGGUUUGUUUUUAGGGGAUAAGUGUUGGCUGUUGUUAGGGGGUUAGUAUUUUUUGGUUUUUACUUGGUUAGUGGUGUUGGUGGUUAGGGGGUUAGUGUUUUUGGUUGUUUAGGGGGUUAGGGUUGUUUGUUGUUAGGGGUUAGGGUUGUUUGUUGUUACGGGGUUAGGGUAGUUUCUUGUUAGGGGGUUAGUGUUGUUUGUUGUUAGUGGGUUUGGGUUGUUUGUUGUUUGGUUAGGGUUGUUUGUUGUUAGGGGGUUAGGGUUGUUUGUUGUUAGGGGUUAGGGUUGUUUGUUGUUAUAGGUUUAGGGUAGUUUCUUGGUAGGGGGUUAGUGUUGUUUGUUGUUAGUGGGUUAGGGUUGUUUGUUGUCUGGUUAGGGUUGUGUGUUGUUAGGGGGUUAGUGUUGUUUGUUGUUGGGGUUUAGGGUUUUCUCUUUUUGGGGUUUAGUGGUUUUUGUUGUUAGGGUGUUAGUGUUGUUUGUGGUUAGGGGGUUAGUGUUGUUGGUUGUUAGGGGGAUAGGAUUGUUUGUUGUUAGGGGGUUAGGGUUGUUUGCUGUUCGGGGGUUAGGGUUGUUUGUUGUUACGGGGUUAGUGUUGUUUGAUGUUAGGGGUUAGGGUUGUUUGUUGUUAGGGGGUUAGUGUUGUUUGUUGUUAGGGUGUUAGGGUUGUUUGUUGUUAGGGGGUUAGUGUUGUUUGUUCUUACGGGGUUAGUGUUGUUUGUGGUUAGGGUGUUAGUGUUGUUUGUGGUUGGGGGUGAGUGUUGUUGGUUCUUAGGGGGUUAGGAUUGUUUAUUGUUAGGGUUUUAGGGUUUUAUGUUGUUAGGGGUUUAAGGUUGUUUGUUUUUAGGAGGUUAGGGUUGUUUGUUGUUACGGGGUUAGGUUAGUUUCUUGUUAGGGGUUUAGUGUUGUUUGUUGUUAGGGCGUUAGUGUUUGUUGUUAGGGGUUUAGGGUUGUUUCUUGUUGGGGUUUCGUGGCUUUUGUUGUUAGGGUGUUAGUGUGUUUGUUGUUAGGGUGUUAGUGUUGUUUGUAGUUAGGGGGUUAGUGUUGUUUGAUGUUAGGGGUUUAGGGUUGUUUGUUGUUAGGGAGUUAGUGUUUCUGGUUUUUAGGGGUUAGGGUUGUUUGUUGUUUGGGGGUUAGUGUUGUUUGUUGUUAGGGGGUUAGGCUUGUUUGUUGUUAGGGUGUUAGUGUUCUUUGAUGUUAGGGGAUUAGGGUUGCUUGUUGUUAGGGGGUUAGUGUUGUUUGUUGUUAGGGGGUUAGGGUUGUUUCUAGUUGGGGUUUAGUAGUGUUUGUUGUUAGGGUGUUAGUGUUGUCCGUUUUUGGGGGUCAGUGUUGUUGUUGUUAGGGGGUUAGUGUUUUUUGUUGUUAGGGUGUGAGAGUUGUUUGUUGUUUGGGGUUUGUGUUGUUUUUUAGGGGGUUAGUUUUGUUUGUUGUUAGUGGGUUAGUGUUGUUUGUAGUUAGGGGAUUAGGGUUGUUGUUAGAGGAUUAGUGUUGGUUGUUGUUGGGGCUUAGUGUUGUUUGUUGUUGGGGGUUAGGGAUGGUUGUUGUUAGGUUGUUAGUGUUGUUGGUUGUUUAGAGGGUUAGGGUUUUUUGCUGUUGGGGGAUAGGGUUGUUUGUUGUUAGGGGGUUAGUGUUGCUUGUUGUUAGGGGUUUAGAGUUGUUGGUUGUUAGGGGGUUAGGGUUGUUUGUUGUUAGGGGGUUAGGGUUCUUUGUUGUUAAGGGUUAGGGUUGUUUGUUGUUACGGGGUUAGGGUAGUUUCUUGUUAGGGGGUUAGUGUUGAUUGUUGUUAGUGGGUUAGUGGUGUUUGUUGUUAGGGGUUCAGAGUUGUUUGUUGUUAGGGGGUUAGAGUUGUUGGUUGUUAGAGGAUUUGGGUUCUUUCUUGUUGGGGGUUAGUGUUGUUUGUUUUUAGGGGAUAAGUGUUGGUUGUUGUUAGGGGGUUAGUAUUUUUUUGGUUUUUACUGGGUUAGUGGUGUUGGUGGUUAGGGGGUUAGUGUUGUUGGUUGUUUAGGGGGUAAGGGUUGUUUGUUGUUAGGGGGUUAGGGUUGUUUGUUGUUGGGGGUUAGUGUUGUUUGUUGUUAGGUGUUUACGGUUGUUGGUUGUUAGGGGGUUAGGGUUGUUUUUUCUUUCGCAUUUAAGGUAGAUUCCUUUUAUGGGUUUAGUGUUGUUUGUUGUUAGUCGGUUAGGGUUGUUUGUUGUUUGGUUAGGGUUGUUUGUUGUUAAGGGGUUAGGGUUGAUUGUUGUUAGUGGGUUAGUGGUGUUUGUUGUUAGGGGUUCAGAGUUGUUUGUUCUUACGGGGUUAGUUUUGUUUGUGGUUAGGGUAUUAGUGUUGUUUGUCGUUGGGGGUGAGUGUUGUUCGUUCUUAGGGGGUUAGGAUUGUUUAUUGUUAGGGGUUUAGGGUUUUAUGUUGUUAGGGGUUUAAGGUUGUUUGUUGUUAGGAGGUUAGGGUUGUUUGUUGUUUGGUUAGGGUUGUUUGUUGUUAGGGGGUUAGGGUUGUUUGUUGUUAGGGGUUAGGGUUGUUUGUUGUUACGGGGUUAGGGUAGUUUCUUGUUAGGGGGUUAGUGUUGUUUGUUGUUAGGUGUUUGGGUUUUUUUUUGUUAGUGGGUAAGGGUUGUUUAUUCUUAGUGGGUUCGUGUUUUUGGUUUUUAGGGGUUAGGGUUGUUUGUUGUUUGGGGGUUAGUGUUGUUUGUUGUUAGGGGGUUAGGCUUGUUUGUUGUUAGGGUGUUAGUGUUCUUUGAUGUUAGGGGAUUAGGGUUGUUUGUUGUUAGGGGGUUAGUGUUGUUUGUUGUUAGGGGGUUAGGGUUGUUUCUAGUUGGGGUUUAGUAGUGUUUGUUGUUAGGGUGUUAGUGUUGUCCGUUUUUGGGGGUUAGUGUUGUUGUUGUUAGGGGGUUAGUGUUGUUUGUUGUUAGGGUGUGAGAGUUGUUUGUUGUUUGGGGUUUGUGUUGUUUUUUAGGGGGUUAGUUUUGUUUGUUGUUAGUGGGUUAGUGUUGUCUGUAGUUAGGGGAUUAGGGUUGUUGUUAGAGGGUUAGUGUUGGUUGUUGUUGGGGCUUAGUGUUGUUUGUUGUUGGGGGUUAGGGAUGGUUGUUGUUAGGGUGUUAGUGUUGUUGGUUGUUUAGAGGGUUAGGGUUGUUUGUUGUUAGGGUUUUACAGUUGUUGGUUGUUGGGGGUUAGGGUUGUUUGUUGUUAGGGGGUUAGGGUUCUUUGUUGUUAAGGGUUAGGGUUGUUUGUUGUUACGGGGUUAGGGUGGUUUCUUGUUAGGGGGUUAGUGUUGAUUGUUGUUAGUGGGUUAGUGGAGUUUGUUGUUAGGGGUUCAGAGUUGUUUGUUGUUAGGGGGUUAGAGUUGUUUGUUGUUAGAGGAUUUGAGUUCUUUCUUGUUGGGGGUUAGUGUUGUUUGUUUUUAGGGGAUAAGUGUUGGCUGUUGUUAGGGGGUUAGUAUUUUUUGGUUUUUACUUUGUUAGUGGUGUUGGUGGUUAGGGGGUUAGUGUUGUUGGUUGUUUAGGGGGUUAGGGUUGUUUGUUGUUAGGGGUUAGGGUUGUUUGUUGUUACGGGGCUAGGGUAGUUUCUUGUUAGGGGUUUAGUGUUGUUUGUUGUUAGGGCGUUAGUGUUUGUUGUUAGGGGUUUAGGGUUGUUUCUUGUUGGGGUUUCGUGGCUUUUGUUGUUAGGGUGUUACUGUUGUUUGUUGUUAGGGUGUUAGUGUUGUUUGUAGUUAGGGGGUUAGUGUUGUUUGAUGUUAGGGGUUUAGAGUUGUUUGUUGUUAGGGAGUUAGUGUUUCUGGUUUUUAGGGGUUAGGGUUGUUUGUUGUUUGGGGGUUAGUGUUGUUUGUUGUUAGGGGGUUAGGCUUGUUUGUUGUUAGGGUGUUAGUGUUCUUUGAUGUUAGGGGAUUAGGGUUGCUUGUUGUUAGGGGGUUAGUGUUGUUUGUUGUUAGGGGGUUAGGGUUGUUUCUAGUUGGGGUUUAGUAGUGUUUGUUGUUAGGGUGUUAGUGUUGUCCGUUUUUGGGGGUCAGUGUUGUUGUUGUUAGGGGGUUAGUGUUUUUUGUUGUUAGGGUGUGAGAGUUGUUUGUUGUUUGGGGUUUGUGUUGUUUUUUAGGGGGUUAGUUUUGUUUGUUGUCAGUGGGUUAGUGUUGUUUGUAGUUAGGGGAUUAGGGUUGUUGUUAGAGGAUUAGUGUUGGUUGUUGUUGGGGCUUAGUGUUGUUUGUUGUUGGGGGUUAGGGAUGGUUGUUGUUAGGGUGUUAGUGUUGUUGGUUGUUUAGAGGGUUAGGGUUGUUUGCUGUUAGGGGAUAGGGUUGUUUGUUGUUAGGGGGUUAGUGUUGCUUGUUGUUAGGGGUUUACAGUUGUUGGUUGUUAGGGGGUUAGGGUAGUUUCUUGUUAGGGGGUUAGUGUUGAUUGUUGUUAGUGGGUUAGUGGUGUUUGUUGUUAGGGGUUCAGAGUUGUUUGUUGUUAGGGGGUUAGAGUUGUUGGUUGUUAGAGGAUUUGGGUUCUUUCUUGUUGGGGGUUAGUGUUGUUUGUUUUUAGGGGAUAAGUGUUGGUUGUUGUUAGGGGGUUAGUAUUUUUUUGGUUUUUACUGGGUUAGUGGUGUUGGUGGUUAGGGGGUUAGUGUUGUUGGUUGUUUAGGGGGUAAGGGUUGUUUGUUGUUAGGGGGUUAGGGUUGUUUGUUGUUGGGGGUUAGUGUUGUUUGUUGUUAGGUGUUUACGGUUGUUGGUUGUUAGGGGGUUAGGGUUGUUUUUUCUUUCGCAUUUAAGGUAGAUUCCUUUUAUGGGUUUAGUGUUGUUUGUUAGUCGGUUAGGGUUGUUUGUUGUUUGGUUAGGGUUGUUUGUUGUUAGGGGGUUAGGGUUCUUUGUUGUUAAGGGUUAGGGUUGUUUGUUGUUACGGGGUUAGGGUGGUUUCUUGUUAGGGGGUUAGUGUUGAUUGUUGUUAGUGGGUUAGUGGUGUUUGUUGUUAGGGGUUCAGAGUUGUUUGUUGUUAGGGGGUUAGAGUUGUUUGUUGUUAGAGGAUUUGAGUUCUUUCUUGUUGGGGGUUAGUGUUGUUUGUUUUUAGGGGAUAAGUGUUGGCUGUUGUUAGGGGGUUAGUAUUUUUUGGUUUUUACUUGGUUAGUGGUGUUGGUGGUUAGGGGGUUAGUGUUUUUGGUUGUUUAGGGGGUUAGGGUUGUUUGUUGUUAGGGGUUAGGGUUGUUUGUUGUUACGGGGCUAGGGUAGUUUCUUGUUAGGGGGUUAGUGUUGUUUGUUGUUAGUGGGUUAGGGUUGUUUGUUGUCUGGUUAGGGUUGUGUGUUGUUAGGGGGUUAGUGUUGUUUAUUGUUAGGGGUUUAGGGUUGUUUCUUGUUGGGGUUUAGUUGUUUUGUUGUUAGGGUGUUAGUGUUGUUUGUGGUUAGGGGGUUAGUGUUGUUGGUUGUUAGGGGGAUAGGAUUGUUUGUUGUUGGGGGUUAGGGUUGUUUGUUGUUAGGGGGUUAGGGUUGUUUUUUGUUAGGGGGUUAGUGUUGUUUGUUGUUAGUCGAUUAGGGUUGUUUGUUGUUUGGUUAGGGUUGUUUGUUGCUAGGGGGUUAGGGAUGGUUGUUGUUAGGGUGUUAGUGUUGUUUGUUGUUAGGGGUUUAGUAUUGUUUGUUGUUAGGUGUUUAAGGUUGUUUCUUGUUGGGGUUUAGUGGGUUUUGUUGUUAGGGUGUUAGUGUUUUUGGUUAGGGGGUUAGUGUUGUUGUUUGUUAGGGGGUAAGGGUUUGUUGUUAGGGGUUUAGGGUUGUUUGUUGUUAGUGGUUUAGUGUUGUUUGUUUUUAGGGGUUCAGAGUUUUUUGUUGUUAGGGGGUUAGAGUUGUUUGUUGUUAGAGGAUUUGGGUUCUUUCUUGUUGCAGGUAAGUGUUGUUUGUUUUUAGGGGAUAAAUAUUAGUUGUUUUUAGGGGGUUAGUUUUUUUUGUUUUUACUGGGUUAGUGGUGUUGGUGGUUAGGGAGUUAGUGUUGUUCGUUGUUUAGGGGGUUAGGGUUGUUUGUUGUUAGGGGGUUAGGGUUGUUUGUUGUUAGGGGGUAGUGUUGCUUGUUAGGUGUUUACGGUUGUUGGUUGUUAGGGUGUUAGGGUUGUUUGUUGUUAGGGGGUUAGGGUUCUUUGUUGUUAAGGGUUAGGGUUGUUUGUUGUUAGGGGGUUAGGGUUCUUUGUUGUUACGGGUUGGGGUUGUUUGUUGUUACGGGGUUAGGGUAGUUUCUUGUUAGGGGGUUAGUGUUGAUUGUUGUUAGUGGGUUAGUGGUGUUUGUUGUUAGGGGUUCAGAGUUGUUUGUUGUUAGGGGGUUAGAGUUUUUUGUUGUUAGAGGUUUUGGGUUCUUUCUUGUUGGGGGUUAGUGUUGUUUGUUGUUAGGGUGUUAGGGUUGUUUGUUGUUAGGGGGUUAGUGUUGUUUGUUCUUACGGGGUUAGUGUUGUUUGUGGUUAGGGUGUUAGUGUUGUUUGUGGUUGGGGGUGAGUGUUGUUGGUUCUUAGGGGGUUAGGAUUGUUUAUUGUUAGGGUUUUAGGGUUUUAUGUUGUUAGGGGUUUAAGGUUGUUUGUUUUUAGGAGGUUAGGGUUGUUUGUUGUUACGGGGUUAGGUUAGUUUCUUGUUAGGGGUUUAGUGUUGUUUGUUGUUAGGGGGUUAGUGUUUGUUGUUAGGGGUUUAGUGUUGUUUCUUGUUGGGGUUUAGUGGUUUUUGUUGUUAGGGGGUUAGUGUUGAUUGUUGUUAGUGGGUUAGUGGUGUUUGUUGUUAGGGGUUCAGAGUUAUUUUUCGUUAGGGGGUUAGAGUUGUUUCUUGUUAGAGGAUUUGGGUUGUUUCUUGUUAGGGGUUAGUGUUGUUUGUUUUCAGGGGCUAAGUACUGGUUGUUCUUAGGGGGUUAGUGUUUUAUGUUUUUACGGGGUUACUGGUGUUGGUGGUUAGGGGGUUAGUGUUGUUGGUUGUUUAGGGGGUUAGAGUUGUUUGUUGUGAGGGGGUUAGGGUUGUUUGUUGUUAGGGGGUUAGUGUUGUUUGUUGUUUCGGGUUUAAGGUAGAUUCUUGUUAGGGGUUUAGUGUUGUUUGUUGUUAGUCGGUUAGGGUUGUUUGUUGUUUGGUUAGGGUUGUUUGUUGUUAAGGGUUUAGGGUAGUUUAUUUUUAGGGGGUUAGUGUUGUUUGUUGUUAGGUUGUUAGGAUUGUUGUUAGGGGGUUAGUGUUUUUUGUUGUUAGGGGGUUAGUGUUGUUUCUUGUUAGAGAGUUAGGGUUCUUUGUUGUUAGAGGCUUAGGGUUGUUCUUUGUUAGUGGGUUAGAGUAGUUUGUUGUUGGGGGUUAGGGUUGUUUGUUGUUAGGGGGUUAGGGUUGUUGUUAGGUGGUUAGUGUUGUUUCUAUUUAGGGGUUUCGGGUUGUUUCUUGUUGAAGUUUAGUGGUUUUUGUUGUUAGGGUGUUAGUGUUGUUUAUGGUUAGGGGGUUAGUGUUGCUUGUAUUUAGGGGUUUAGGGUUGUUUCUUGUUGGGCUUUAGUGGUUUUUGUUGUUAGGGUGUUAGUGUUGUUUGUUGUUAGGGGGUUAGUGUUGUUUGUUCUUACGGGGUUAGUGUUGUUUGUGGUUAGGGUUUUAGUGUUUUUUGUGGUUAGGGGGUGAAUGUUGUUGGUUGUUAGGGGGUUAGGAUUGUUUGUUGUUAGUGGUUCAGUGUUGUUUGUUGUUAGGCGGUUAGUGUUUGUUGUUAGGGGUUUAGGGUUGUUUCUUGUUGGGGUUUAGUGGUUUUUGUUGUUAGGGUGUUAGUGUUGUUUGUUGUUAGGGUGUUAGUGUUGUUUGUUGUUAGGGGGUUAGUGUUGUUUGAUGUUAGGGGUUUAGGGUUGUUUGUUGUUGGGGGUUAAUGUUGUUUGUUGUUAGGGAGUUAGUGUUGUUCGUUGUUUAGGGGGUUAGGGUUGUUUGUUGUUAGGGGGUUAGGGUUCUUUGUUGUUAAGGGUUAGGGUUGUUUGUUGUUACGGGGUUAGGGUAGUUUCUUGUUAGGGGGUUAGUGUUGAUUGUUGUUAGUGGGUUAGUGGUGUUUGUUGUUAGGGGUUCAGAGUUGUUUGUUGUUUUGGGUUAGAGUUGUUUGUUGUUAGAGGAUUUGGGUUCUUUCUUGUUGGGGGUUAGUGUUGUUUGUUUUUAGGGGAUAAGUGUUGGUUGUUGUUAGGGGGUUAGUAUUUUUUUGGUUUUUACUGGGUUAGUGGUGUUGGUGGUUAGGGGGUUAGUGUUGUUGGUUGUUUAGGGGGUUAGGGUUGUUUGUUGUUAGGGCGUUAGGGUUGUUUGUUGUGAGGGGGUUAGGGUUGUUUUUUGUUGGGGGUUAGUGUUGUUUGUUGUUAGGUGUUUACGGUUGUUGGUUGUUAGGCGGUUAGGGUUGUUUUUUCUUUCGCAUUUAAGGUAGAUUCUUGUUAGGGGUUUAGUGUUGUUCGUUGAUAGUCGGUUAGGGUUGUUUGUUGUUUGGUUUGGGUUGUUUGUUGUUAGGGGGUUAGGGUUGUUUGUUGUUAGGGGGUUAGUGUUGUUUGUUGUUGGGGGUUAGGGUUGUUUCUAGUUGGGGUUUAGUAGUGUCUGUUGUUAGGGUGUUAGUGUUGUCCGUUUUUGGGGGUUAGUGUUGUUGUUGUUAGGGGUUAGUGUUGUUUGUUGUUAGGGUGUGAGAGUUGUUUGUUGUUUGGGGUUUGUGUUGUUUUUUAGGGGGUUAGUUUUGUUUGUUGUUAGUGGGUUAGUGUUGUUUGUAGUUAGGGGAUUAGGGUUGUUGUUAGAGGGUUACUGAUGGUUGUUGUUGGGGCUUAAUGUUGAUUGUUGUUAGGGGGUUAGGGAUGGUUGUUGUUAGGGUAUUAGUGUUGUUGGUUGUUUAGAGGGUUAGGGUUGUUGGUGGUUAGGGGGUUAGUGUUGUUUGUUGUUAGUGGGUUAGGGUUGUUUGUUGUCUGGUUAGAGUUGUGUGUUGUUAGUGGGUUAGUGUUGUUUGUUGUUAGGGGUUUAGGUUUUUUUCUUGUUGGGGUUUAGUGGUUUUUGUUGUUAGGGUGUUAGUGUUGUUCGUGGUUAGGGGGUUAGUGUUGUUGGUUGUUAGGGGGAUAGGAUUGUUUGUUGUUAGGGGGUUAGGGUUGUUUGUUGUUUGGGGGUUAGGGUUGUUUGUUGUUACGGGGUUAGUGUUGUUUGAUGUUAGGGGUUAGGGUUGUUUGUUGUUAAGGGGUUAGUGUUGUUUGUUAGGGUGUUAGGGCUGUUUGUUGUUGGGGGUUAGUGUUGUUUGUUCUUACGGGGUUAGUGUUGUUUGUGGUUAGGGUGUCAGUGUUGUUUGUGGUUGGGGGUGAGUGUUGUUGGUUCUUAGGGGGUUAGGAUUGUUUAUUGUUAGGGUUUUAGGGUUUUAUGUUGUUAGGGGUUUAAGGUUGUUUGUUGUUAGGAGGUUAGGGUUGUUUGUUGUUACGGGGUUAGGUUAGUUUCUUGUUAGGGGUUUAGUGUUGUUUGUUGUUAGAGGGUUAGUGUUUGUUGUUAGGGGUUUAGGGUUGUUUCUUGUUGGGGUUUCGUGGCUUUUGUUGUUAGGGUGUUAGUGUUGUUUGUUGUUAGGCUGUUAGUGUUGAUUGUUGUUAGGGGGUUAGUGUUGUUUGAUGUUAGUGGUUUAGGGUUGUUUGUUGUUAGGGAGUUAGUGUUUUUGGUUUUUAGGGGUUAGGGUUGUUUGUUGUUUGGGGGUUAGUGUUAUUUGUUGUUAGUGGGUUAGGCUUGUUUGUUGUUAGGGUGUUAGUGUUCUUUGAUGUUAGGGGAUUAGGGUUGCUUGUUGUUAGGGGGUUAGUGUUGUUUGUUGUUAGGGGGUUAGGGUUGUUUCUAGUUGGGGUUUAGUAGUGUUUGUUGUUAGGGUGUUAGUGUUGUCCGUUUUGGGGGGUUAGUGUUGUUGUUGUUAGGGGGUUAGUGUUGUUUGUUGUUAGGGUGUGAGAGUUGUUUGUUGUUUGGGGUUUGUGUUGUUUUUUAGGGGGUUAGUUUUGUUUGUUGUUAAUGGGUUAGUGUUGUUUGUAGUUAGGGGAUUAGGGUUGUUGUUAGAGGAUUAGUGUUGUUUGUUGUUGGGGCUUAGUGUUGUUUGUUGUUAGGGGGUUAGGGAUGGUUGUUGUUAGGGUGUUAGUGUUGUUGGUUGUUUAGAGGGUUAGGGUUGUUUGCUGCUAGGGGGAUAGGGUUGUUUGUUGUUAGGGGGUUAGUGUUGCUUGUUGUUAGGGGUUUAGAGUUGUUGGUUGUUAGGGGGUUAGGGUUGUUUGUUGUUAGGGGGUUAGGGUUCUUUGUUGUUAAGGGUUAGGGUGGUUUGUUGUUACGGGGUUAGGGUAGUUUCUUGUUAGGGGUUUAGUGUUGAUUGUUGUUAGUGGGUUAGUGGUGUUUGUUGUUAGGGGUUCAGAGUUGUUUGUUGUUAGGGGGUUAGAGUUGUUUGUUGUUAGAGGAUUUGGGUUCUUUCUUGUUGGGGGUUAGUGUUGUUUGUUUUUAGGGGAUAAGUGUUGGUUGUUGUUAGGGGGUUAGUUUUUUUUGGUUUUUACUGGGUUAGUGGUGUUGGUGGUUAGGGGGUUAGUGUUGUUGGUUGUUUAGGGGGUUAGGGUUGUUUGUUGUUAGGGGGUUAGGGUUGUUUGUUGUUGGGCGUUAGUGUUGUUUGUUGUUAGGUGUUUACGGUUGUUGGUUGUUAGGGGGUUAGGGUUGUUUUUUCUUUUGCAUUUAAGGUAGAUUCUUGUUAGGGGUUUAGUGUUGUUUGUUGUUAGUCGGUUAGGGUUGUUUGUUGUUUGGUUAGGGUUGUUUGUUGUUAGGGGUUAGGGUUGUUUGUUGUUACGGGGUUAGGGUAGUUUCCUGAUAGGGGGUUAGUGUUGUUUGUUGUUAGGGUGUUAGGGUUGUUUGUUGUUAGUGGGUAAAGGUUGUUUGUUGUUAGUGGGUUAGUGUUUUUGGUUUUUAGGCGUUAGGGUUGUUUGUUGUUUGGGGGUUAGUGUUGUUUGUUGUUAGGGGGUUAGGCUUGUUUGUUGUUAGGGUGUUAGUGUUCUUUGAUGUUAGGUUAUUAGGGUUGUUUGUUGUUAGGGGGUUAGUGUUGUUUGUUGUUGAGGGUUAGGGUUGUUUCUAGUUGGGGUUUAGUAGUGUUUGUUGUUAGGGUGUUAGUGUUGUCCGUUUUUGGGGGUUAGUGUUGUUGUUGUUAGGGGGUUAGUGUUGUUUGUUGUUAGGGUGUGAGAGUUGUUUGUUGUUUGGGGUUUGUGUUGUUUUUUAGGGGGUUAGUUUUGUUUCUUGUUAGUGGGUUAGUGUUGUUUGUAGUUAGGGGAUUAGGGUUGUUGUUAGAGGGUUAGUGAUGGUUGUUGUUGGGGCUUAGUGUUGUUUGUUGUUACGGGGUUAGGGUUGUUUGUUGUUGGGGGUUAGUGUUGUUUGUUGUUAGGUGCUUACGGUUGUUGGUUGUUAGGGGGUUAGGGUUGUUUUUUCUUUCGCAUUUAAGGUAGAUUCUUGUUAGGGGUUUAGUGUUGUUUGUUGUUAGUCGGUUAGGGAUGUUUGUUGUUUGGUUAGGGUUGUUUGUUGUUAGGGGGUUAGGGUUGUUUGUUGUUAGGGGUUAGGGUUGUUUGUUGUUACGGGGUUAGGGUAGUUUCUUGUUAGGGGGUUAGUGUUGUUUGUUGUUAGGGUGUUAAGGUUGUUUGUUGUUAGUGGGUAAGGGUUGUUUGUUGUUAGUGGGUUAGUGUUUUUGGUUUUUAGGGGUUAGGGUUUUUUGUUGUUUGGGGGUUAGUGUUGUUUGUUGUUAGGGGAUUAGGGUUGUUGUUAGAGGAUUAGUGUUGGUUGUUUUUGGGGCUUAGUGUUGUUUGUUGUUAGGGGGUUAGGGAUGGUUGUUGUUAGGGUGUUAGUGUUGUUGGUUGUUUAGAGGGUUAGGGUUGUUUGCUGUUAGGGGGAUAGGGUUGUUUGUUGUUAGGGGGUUAGUGUUGCUUGUUGUUAGGGGUUUACAGUUGUUGGUUGUUAGGGGUUCAGAGUUGUUUGUUGUUAGGGGGUUAGAGUUGUUUGUUGUUAGAGGAUUUGGGUUCUUUCUUGUUGGGGGUUAGUGUUGUUUGUUUUUAGGGGAUAAGUGUUGGUUGUUGUUAGGGGGUUAGUAUUUUUUUGGUUUUUACUGGGUUAGUGGUGUUGGUGGUUAGGGGUUUAGUGUUGUUGUUUGUUUAGGGGGUUAGGGUUGUUUGUUGUUAGGGGGUUAGAGUUGUUUGUUGUUGGGGGUUAGUGUUGUUUGUUGUUAGGUGUUUACGGUUGUUGGUUGUUAGGGGGUUAGGGUUGUUUUUUCUUUCGGAUUUAAGGUAGAUUCUUUUUAGGGGUUUAGUGUUGUUUGUUGUUAGUCGGUUAGGGUUGUUUGUUGUUUGGUUAGGGUUGUUUGUUGUUAGGGGGUUAGGGUUGUUUGUUGUUAGGGGUUAGGGUUGUUUGUUGUUAGUGGGUAAGGGUUGUUUGUUGUUAGUGGGUUAGUGUUUUUGGUUUUUAGGGGUUAGGGUUGUUUGUUGUUUGGGGGUUAGUGUUGUUUGUUGUUAGGGGGUUAGGCUUGUUUGUUGUUAGGGUGUUAGUGUUCUUUGAUGUUAGGGUAUUAGGGUUGUUUGUUGUUAGGGGGUUAGUGUUGUUUGUUGGUAGGGGGUUAGGGUUGUUUCUAGUUGGGGUUUAGUAGUGUUUGUUGUUAGGGUGUUAGUGUUGUCCGUUUUUGGGGGUUAGUGUUGUUGUUGUUAGGGGGUUAGUGUUGUUUGUUGUUAGGGUGUGAGAGUUGUUUGUUGUUUGGGGUUUGUGUUGUUUUUUAGGGAGUUAGUUUUGUUUGUUGUUAGUGGGUUAGUGUUGUUUGUAGUUAGGGGAUUAGGGUUGUUUUUAGAGGGUUAGUGAUGGUUGUUGUUGGGGCUUAGUGUUGUUUGUUGUUAGGGGGUUAGAGAUGGUUGUUAGUAGGGUGUUAGUGUUGUUGGUUGUUUAGAGGGUUAGGGUUGUUUGUUUUUAGGGCGAUAGGGUUGUUUUUUGUUAGGGGGUUAGUGUUGCUUGUUGUUAGGGGUUUAGAGUUGUUGGUUGUUAGGGGGUUAGGGUUGUUUGUUGUUAGGGGGUUAGGGUUCUUUGUUGUUAAGGGUUAGGGUUGUUUGUUGUUACGGGGUUAGGGUAGUUUCUUGUUAGGGGGUUAGUGUUGAUUGUUGUUAGUGGGUUAGUGGUGUUUGUUGUUAGGGGUUCAGAGUUGUUUGUUGUUAGGGGGUUAGAGUUGUUUGUUGUUAGAGGAUUUGGGUUCUUUCUUGUUGGGGGUUAGUGUUGUUUGUUUUUAGGGGAUAAGUGUUGGUUGUUGUUAAUGAGUUAGUAUUUUUUUGCUUUUUACUGGGUUAGUGGUGUUGGUGGUUAGGGGGUUAGUGUUGUUGGUUGUUUAGGGGGUUAGGGUUGUUUGUUGUUAGGGGGUUAGGGUUGUUUGUUGUUAGGGGGUUAGUGUUGUUUGUUUUUAGGGGAUAAGUGUUGGUUGUUGUUAGGGGGUUAGUAUUUUUUUGGUUUUUACUGGUUUAGUGGUGUUGGCGGUUAGGGGGUUAGUGUUGUUGGUUGUUUAGGGGGUUAGGGUUGUUUGUUGUUAGGGGGUUAGGGUUGUUUGUUGUUAGGGGGUUAGUGUUGUUUGUUGUUAGGUGUUUACGGUUGUUGGUUGUUAGGGGGUUAGGGUUGUUUGUUCUUUCGCAUUUAAGGUAGAUUCUUGUUAGGGGUUUAGUGUUGUUUGUUGUUAGUCGAUUAGGGUUGUUUGUUGUUUGGUUAGGGUUGUUUGUUGUUAGGGGGUUAGGGUUGUUUGUUGUUAGGGGUUAGGGUUGUUUGUUGUUAUGGGGUUAGGGUAGUUUCUUGUUAGGGUGUUAUUGUUGUUUGUUGUUAUUGGGUUAGGCUUGUUUGUUGUCUGGUUAGGGUUGUGUUUUGAUAGGGGGUUAGUGUUGUUUGUUGUUAGGGGUUUAGGGUUGUUUCUUGUUGGGGUUUAGUGGUUUUUGUUGUUAGGGUGUUAGUGUUGUUCGUGGUUAGGGGGUUAGUGUUGUUGGUUGUUAGGGGGAUAGGAUUGUUUGUUGUUAGGGGGUUAGGGUUGUUUGUUGUUUGGGGGUUAGGGUUGUUUGUUGUUACGGGGUUAGUGUUGUUUGAUAUUAGGGGUUAGGGUUGUUUGUUGUUAGGGGGUUAGUGUUGUUUGUUGUUAGGGUGUUAGGGUUGUUUGUUGUUAGGGGGUUAGUGUUGUUUGUUCUUACGGGGUUAGUGUUGUUUGUGGUUGGGGGUGAGUGUUGUUGGUUCUUAGGGGGUUAGGAUUGUUUAUUGUUAGGGGUUUAGGGUUUUAUGUUGUUAGGGGUUUAAGGUUGUUUGUUGUUAGUCGGUUAGGGUUGUUUGUUGUUUGUUAGGGUUGUUUGUUGUUAGGGGGUUAGGGUUGUUUGUUGUUAGGGGUUAGGGUUGUUUGUUGUUAUGGGGUUAGGGUAGUUUCUUGUUAGGGGGUUAGUGUUGUUUGUUGUUAGUGGGUUAGGGUUGUUUGUUGUCUGGUUAGUGUUGUGUGUUGUUAGGGGGUUAGUGUUGUUUGUUGUUAGGGGUUUAGGGUUUUUUCUUGUUGGGGUUUAGUGGUUUUUCUUGUUAGGGUGUUAGUGUUGUUCGUGGUUAGGGGGUUAGUGUUGUUGGUUGUUAGGGGGAUAGGAUUGUUUCUUGUUAGGGGGUUAGGGUUGUUUGUUGUUUGGUGGUUAGGGUUGUUUGUUGUUACGGGGUUAGUGUUGUUUGAUGUUCGGGGUUAGGGUUGUUUGUUGUUAAGGGGUUAGUGUUGUUUGUUGUUAGGGUGUUAGGGUUUGUUGUUAGGGGGUUAGUGUUGUUUGUUCUUACGAGGUUAGUGUUGUUUGUGAUUAGCGUGUUAGUGUUGUUUGUGGUUGGGGGUGAGUGUUCUUGGUUCUUAGGGGGUUAGGAUUGUUUAUUGUUAGGGUAUUAGUGUUUUAUGUUGUUAGGGGAUUAAGGUUGUUUGUUGUUAGGAGGUUAGGGUUGUUUGUUGUUACGGGGUUAGGUUAGUUUCUUGUUAGGGUUUUAGUGUUGUUUGUUGUUAGGGGGUUAGUGUUUGUUGUUAGGGGUUAAGGUUGUUUCUUGUUGGGGUUUCGUGGCUUUUGUUGUUAGGGUGUUAGUGUUGUUUGUUGUUAGGGGGUUAGUGUUGUUUGAUGUUAGGGGUUUAGGGUUGUUUGCUGUUAGGGAGUUAGUGUUUUUGGUUUUUAGGGGUUAGGGUUGUUUGUUGUUUGGGGGUUAGUGUUGUUUGUUGUUAGGGUGUUAGGCUUGUUUAUUGUUAGGGUGUUAGUGUUCUUUGAUGUUGGGGAUUAGGGUUGCUUGUUGUUAGGGGGUUAGUGUUGUUUGUUGUUAGGGGGUUAGGGUUGUUUCAAGUUGGGGUUUAGUAGUGUUUGUUGUUAGGGUGUUAGUGUUGUCCGUUUUUGGGGGUUAGUGUUGUUGUUAGGGGGUUAGUGUUGUUUGUUGUUAGGGUGUGAGAGUUGUUUGUUGUUUGGGGUUUGUGUUGUUUUUUAGGGGGUUAGUUUUGUUUGUUGUUAGUGGGUUAGUGUUGUUUGUAGUUAGGGGAUUAGGGUUGUUGUUAGAGGGUUAGUAAUGGUUGUUGUUGGGGCUUAGUGUUGUUUGUUGUUAGGGGGUUAGGGAUGGUUGUUGUUAGGGUGUUAGUGUUGUUGGUUGUUUAGAGGGUUAGGGUUGUUUGUUGUGAGGGGGUUAGGGUUGUUUGUUGUCAGGGCGUUAGUGUUGUUUGUUGUUAGGUGUUUACGGUUGUUGGUUGUUAGGGGGUUAGGGUUGUUUGUUCUCUCGGAUUUAAUGUAGAUUCUUGUUAGUUGUUUAGUGUUGUUUGUUGUUAGUCGGUUCAGGUUGUUUGUUGUUUGGUUAGGGUUGUUUGUUGUUAGGGGGUUAGGGUUGAUUGUUGUUAGGGGUUAGGGUUGUUUGUUGUUAUGGGGUUAGGGUAGUUUCUUGUUAGGGGGUUAGUGUUGUUUUUUGUUAGUGGGUUAGGGUUGUUUGUUGUCUGGUUAGGGUUGUGUGUUGUUAGGGGGUUAGUGUUGUUUGUUGUUAGGGGUUUAGGGUUUUUUCUUGUUGGGGUUUAGUGGUUUUUGUUGUUAGGGUGUUAGUGUUGUUCGUGGUUAGGGGGUUAGUGUUUUUUGAUGUUAGGGGUUAGGGUUGUUUGUUGCUAAGGGGUUAGUGUUGUUUGUUGUUAGGGUGUUAGGGUUGUUUGUUGUUAGGGGGUUAGUGUUGUUUGUUCUUACGGGGUUAGUGUUGUUUGUGGUUAGGGUGUUAGUGUUGUUUGUGGUUGGGGGUGAGUGUUGUUGGUUCUUAGGGGGUUAGGAUUGUUUAUUGUUAGGGUUUUAGGGUUUUAUGUUGUUAGGGGUUUAAGGUUGUUUGUUGUUAGGAGGUUAGGGUUGUUUGUUGUUACGGGGUUAGGUUAGUUUCUUGUUAGGGGUUUAGUGUUGUUUGUUGUUAGGGGGUUAGUGUUUGUUGUUAGGGGUUUAGGGUUGUUUCUUGUUGGGGUUUCGUGGCUUUUGUUGUUAGGGUGUUAGUGUUGUUUGUUGUUAGGGUGUUAGAGUUGUUUGUUGUUAGGGGGUUAGUGUUGUUUGAUGUUAGUGGGUAAGGGUUGUUUGUUGUUAGUGGGUUAGUGUUUUUGGUUUUUAGGGGUUAGGGUUGUUUGUUGUUUGGGGGUUAGUGUUGUUUGUUGUUACGGGGUUAGGCUUGUUUGUUGUUAGGGUGUUAGUUUUCUUUGAUGUUAGGGGAUUAGGGUUGCUUCUUGUUAGGGGGUUAGUGUUGUUUGUUGUUAGGGGUUUAGGGUUGUUUCUAGUUGGGGUUUAGUAGUGUUUGUUGUUAGGGUGUUAGUGUUUUCCGUUUUUGGGGGUUAGUGUUGUUGUUGUUAGGGGGUUAGUGUUGUUUGUUGUUAGGGUGUGAGAGUUGUUUGUUGUUUGGGGUUUGUGUUGUUUUUCAGGGGGUUAGUUUUGUUUGUUGUUAAUGGGUUAUUGUUGUUUGUAGUUAGGGGAUUAGGGUUGUUGUUAGAGGGUUAGUGAUGGUUGUUGUUGGGGCUUAGUGUUGUUUGUUGUUAGGGGGUUAGGCUUGUUUGUUGUUAGGGUGUUAGUGUUCUUUGAUGUUAGGGGAUUAGGGUUGUUUGUUGUUAGGGGGUUAGUGUUGUUUGUUGUUAGGGGGUUAGGGUUGUUUCUAGUUGGGGUUUAGUAGUGUUUGUUGUUAGGGUGUCAGUGUUGUCCGUUUUUGGGGGUUAGUGUUGUUGUUGUUAGGGGGUUAGUGUUUGUUGUUAGGGGUUUAGGGUUGUUUCUUGUUUGGGUAUAGUGGUUUUUGUUGUUAGGAUGUUAGUGUUGUUUGUUGUUAGGGUGUUAGUGUUGUUUGUUGUUAGGGGGUUACUGAUGUUUGAUGUUAGGGGUUUAGGGUUCUUUGUUGUUAGGGGGUUAGUGUUUUUGGUUUUUAGUGGUUAGGUUUGUUUGUUGUUUGGGGGUUAGUGUUGCUUGUUGUUAGGGGGUUAGGCUUGUUUGUUGUUAGGGGGUUAGUGUUGUUUCUAGUUGGGGUUUAGUAGUGUUUGUUGUUAGGGUGUUAGUGUUGUCCGUUUUUGGGGGUUAGUGUUAUUGUUGUUAGGGGAUUAGUGUUGUUUGUUGUUAGGGGGUUAGGGUUGUUUCUAGUUGGGGUUUAGUAGUGUUUGUUGUUAGGGUGUUAGUGUUGUCCGUUUUUGGGGGUUAGUGUUGUUGUUGUUAGGGGGUUAGUGUUGUUUGUUGUUAAGAUGUGAGAGUUGUUUGUUGUUUGGGGUUUGUGUUGUUUUUAGGGGGUUAGUUUUGUUUGUUGUUAAUGGGUUAGGGUUGUUUGUAGUUAGGGGAUUAGGGUUGUUGUUAAAGGGUUAGUGAUGGUUGUUGUUGAGGCUUAGUGUUGUUUGUUGUUAGGGGGUUAGGGAUGGUUGUUGUUAGGGUGUUAGUGUUGUUUUUUGUUUAGAGGGUUAGGGUUGUUGGUGGUUAGGGGGUUAGUGUUGGUUGUUUAGGGGGUUAGGGUUGUUUGUUGUGAGGGGGUUAUGGUUGUUUGUUGUCAGGGGGUUAGUGUUGUUUGCUGUUAGGUGUUUACGGUUGUUGGUUGUUAGGGGGUUAGGGUUGUUUGUUCUUUCGGAUUUAAGGUAGAUUCUUGUUAGGGGUUUAGUGUUGUUUGUUGUUAGUCGGUUAGGGUUGUUUGUUGUUUGGUUAGGGUUGUUUCUUGUUAGGGGGUUAGGGUUGUUUGUUGUUAGGGGUUAGGGUUGUUUGUUGUUAUGGGGUUAGGGUAGUUUCUUGUUAGGGGGUUAGUGUUGUUUGUUGUUAGUGGGUUAGGGUUGUUUGUUGUCUUUUUAGGGUUGUGUGUUGUUAGGGGGUUAGUGUUGUUUGUUGUUAGGGGUUUAGAGUUUUUUCUUGUUGGGGUUUAGUGGUUUUUCUUGUUAAGGUGUUAGUGUUGUUCGUGGUUAGGGGGUUAGUGUUGUUGGUUGUUAGGGGGAUAGGAUUGUUUGUUGUUAGGGGGUUAGGGUUGUUUGUUGUUUGGGGGUUAGGGUUGUUUGUUGUUACGGGGUUAGUGUUGUUUGAUGUUAGGGGUUAGGGUUGUUUGUUGUUAAGGGGUUAGUGUUGUUUGUUGUUAGGGUGUUAGGGUUGUUUGUUGUUAGGGGUUUAGUGUUGUUUGUUCUUACGGGGUUAGUGUUGUUUGUGAUUAGCGUGUUAGUGUUGUUUGUGGUUGGGGGUGAGUGUUGUUGGUUCUUAGGGUGUUAGGAUUGUUUAUUGUUAGGGAUUUAGUGUUUUAUGUUGUUAGGGGUUUAAGGUUGUUUGUUGUUAGGAGUUUAGGGUUGUUUGUUGUUACGGGGUUAGGUUAGUUUCUUGUUAGGGGUUUAGUGUUGUUUGUUGUUAGGGGGUUAGUGUUUGUUCUUAGGGGUUUAGGGUUGUUUCUUGUUGGGGUUUCGUGGCUUUUGUUGUUAGGGUGUUAGUGUUGUUUGUUGUUAGGUUGUUAGUGUUGUUUGAUGUUAGGGGUAUAGGGUUGUUUGCUGUUAGGGAGUUAGUGUUUUUGGUUUUUAGGGGUUAGGGUUGUUUGUUGUUUGGGGGUUAGUGUUGUUUGUUGUUAGGGGGUUAGGCUUGUUUAUUGUUAGGGUGUUAGUGUUCUUUGAUGUUAGGGGAUUAGGGUUGCUUGUUGUUAGGGGGUUAGUGUUGUUUGUUGUUAGGGGGUUAGGGUUGUUUCAAGUUGGGGUUUAGUAGUGUUUGUUGUUAGGGUGUUAGUGUUGUCCGUUUUUGGGGGUUAGUGUUUUUGUUAGGGGGUUAGUGUUGUUUGUUGUUAGGGUGUGAGAGUUGUUUGUUGUUUGGGGUUUGUGUUGUUUUUUAGGGGGUUAGUUUUGUUUGUUGUUAGUGGGUUAGUGUUGUUUGUAGUUAGGGGAUUAGGGUUGUUGUUAGAGGGUUAGUGAUGGUUGUUGUUGGGGCUUAGUGUUGUUUGUUGUUAGGGGGUUAGGGAUGGUUGUUGUUAGGGUGUUAGUGUUGUUGGUUGUUUAGAGGGUUAGGGUUGUUUGUUGUGAGGGGGUUAGGGUUGUUUGUUGUCAGGGCGUUAGUGUUGUUUGUUGUUAGGUGUUUACGGUUGUUGGUUGUUAGGGGGUGAGGGUUGUUUGUUCUCUCGGAUUUAAUGUAGAUUCUUGUUAGGGGUUUAGUGUUGUUUGUUGUUAGUCGGUUAAGGUUGUUUGUUGUUUGGUUAGGGUUGUUUGUUGUUAGGGGGUUAGGGUUGUUUGUUGUUAGGGGUUAGGGUUGUUUGUUGUUAUGGGGUUAGGGUAGUUUCUUGUUAGGGGGUUAGUGUUGUUUUUUGUUAGUGGGUUAGGGUUGUUUGUUGUCUGGUUAGGGCUGUGUGUUGUUAGGGGGUUAGUGUU